rnacentral:rRNA from 1 species
GAUGAACGCUGGCGGCGUGCCUAAUACAUGCAAGUCGAGCGAACAGACGAGGAGCUUGCUCCUCUGACGUUAGCGGCGGACGGGUGAGUAACACGUGGAUAACCUACCUAUAAGACUGGGAUAACUUCGGGAAACCGGAGCUAAUACCGGAUAAUAUAUUGAACCGCAUGGUUCAAUAGUGAAAGACGGUUUUGCUGUCACUUAUAGAUGGAUCCGCGCCGCAUUAGCUAGUUGGUAAGGUAACGGCUUACCAAGGCAACGAUGCGUAGCCGACCUGAGAGGGGGAUUCGCCCAACCGGGAACUGAGCACCGGCCCAGACCCCAAGGGGGGGCAGCAGGAGGGAAUCUCCCGAAAGGGGGGAAAGCUUGACGGAGCAACGCCGGGGGAGUGAGGAAGGUUUUCGGUUCGAAAACCUUUUUUUUUAGGGAAAAAAAAAUGUGUAAGUAAAUUUGCACGUUUUGCCGGUACCAAACCAGAAAGCCCCGGCUAACUACGU